AGUGCUGAAAGAGUGAGCCAGGACAGCCUUUUGACAUUGAACAAGGCAAUUCCCAAUCUCUUGAGCCCUGGCUGUGUUCACUGAAUGGAUCUAGUCUCCGAAAAUUCACGGACAUUUUUGGCCGGGCGCUGUGGCUCACGCCUGUAAUCCCAGCACUUUGGGAGGUUGAGGAGGGAAGAUUAUGAAGUCAAGAGAUCAAGACUAUCCUGCGCAACAUGAUGAAAUCCCGUCUCUACUAAAAAUACAAAAAAUUAGCUGGGUGUGGUGCGAGCCUGUAAUCCCAGCUACUCAGGAGGCUGAAGCAGGAGAAUUGCUUGAACCCAGGAGGCGGAGGUUGCAGUGAGCCAAGAUGGCGCCACCGCACUCCAGCCUGGCAACAGAGUGUGACUACGUCUCAAAAAAAGAAAAAAGAAAAAAGAAAGAAAGAAAAGAAAAAAAA
rnacentral:lncRNA from 1 species